UACGUAGGGUGCAAGCGUUAUCCGGAAUUAUUGGGCGUAAAGAGCUCGUAGGCGGUUUGUCGCGUCUGCUGUGAAAACCCGAGGCUCAACCUCGGGCCUGCAGUGGGUACGGGCAGACUAGAGUGCGGUAGGGGAGAUUGGAAUUCCUGGUGUAGCGGUGGAAUGCGCAGAUAUCAGGAGGAACACCGAUGGCGAAGGCAGAUCUCUGGGCCGUAACUGACGCUGAGGUGCGAAAGCGUGGGGAGCAAACAGG
rnacentral:rRNA from 1 species